GACGAACGCUGGCGGCGUGCUUAACACAUGCAAGUCGAACGGAAAGGCCUCUUUCGGGGGGUACUCGAGUGGCGAACGGGUGAGUAACACGUGAGUAACCUGCCCUUGACUUUGGGAUAACUUCAGGAAACUGGGGCUAAUACCGGAUAGGAGCUCCUGCUGCAUGGUGGGGGUUGGAAAGUUUCGGCGGUUGGGGAUGGACUCGCGGCUUAUCUGCUUGUUGGUGGGGUAGUGGCUUACCAAGGCUUUGGCGGGUAGCCGGCCUGGGAGGGUGACCGGCCACAUUGGGACUGGGGUACGGCCCAGACUCCUACGGGGGGCAGCCGUGGGGAAUAUUGCACAAUGGGUGGAAGCCUGAUGCAGCAACGCCGUGUGCGGGAUGACGGCCUUCGGGUUGUAAACCGCUUUCGCUCAUGACGAAGCUUUGUGUGACGGUAGUGGGUAAAGAAGCACCGGCUAACUACGUG
rnacentral:rRNA from 1 species